GAUGAACGCUGGCCGCGUGCCUAAUACAUGCAAGUCGAGCGAACAGAUGAGGAGCUUGCUCCUCUGACGUUAGCGGCGGACGGGUGAGUAACACGUGGAUAACCUACCUAUAAGACUGGGAUAACUUCGGGAAACCGGAGCUAAUACCGGAUAAUAUAUUGAACCGCAUGGUUCAAUAGUGAAAGACGGUUUUGCUGUCACUUAUAGAUGGAUCCGCGCCGCAUUAGCUAGUUGGUAAGGUAACGGCUUACCAAGGCAACGAUGCGUAGCCGACCUGAGAGGGUGAUCGGCCACACUGGAACUGAGACACGGUCCAGACUCCUACGGGAGGCAGCAGUAGGGAAUCUUCCGCAAUGGGCGAAAGCCUGACGGAGCAACGCCGCGUGAGUGAUGAAGGUCUUCGGAUCGUAAAACUCUGUUAUUAGGGAAGAGCAAAUGUGUAAGUAACUAUGCACGUCUUGACGGUACCUAAUCAGAAAGCCACGGCUAACUACGUG
rnacentral:rRNA from 1 species